rnacentral:tRNA from 1 species
UCCCUCAUAGUUCAGUUGGUAAAGAAUCUGCCUGCAAUGCAGGAGACCCGGGUUCAAUUCCUGGGUCGGGAA